rnacentral:rRNA from 1 species
CAGCACCUCAAGUGGUCAGGAUGAUUAUUGGGCCUAAAGCAUCCGUAGCCGGCGCUGUAAGUUUUCGGUUAAAUCUGUAUACUCAACAUACAGGCUGCCGGGAAUACUGCAGAGCUAGGGAGUGGGAGAGGUAGACGGUACUCGGUAGGAAGGGGUAAAAUCCUUUGAUCUAUUGAUGACCACCUGUGGCGAAGGCGGUCUACCAGAACACGUCCGACGGUGAGGGAUGAAAGCUGGGGGAGCAAACCGGAUUAGAUACCCGAGUAGUCC